AUGAGGAAUCACUGGGACCUCCCGGGCGAGGGAUUCUUCAGGAACACGGGCGAGGACUGGCUGCAGAACCUGCUUGGCCCUUGCAACCAGGAUACCAGAACUAGAGUCCUGCUACUACUUUUGCGCUGCUGGUUUCUUCGUGACGACUGCACCCACAAUACAGGGAAGGAGUCCAUCUGUCGAUCCUCAGCAUUCUUGUUACAGUAUGAGGAGGAUCUCCAUAAGGGGGAGUCGGAGGCGCCUGCAUAUGAUCAGUGGGAUCCCCCAGAGGCGGGCACUGUUAAACUUAACACGGAUGCAGGAUUUUUGGCUGCUAAUGGGUCCUCUCAGGUUGGUGCAAUCGCUCGCAAUCAUCGGGGUGUGGCUCUCUUCUCUCUUGCCGAACGAGGGGGGCACUGCAAUUCUGUAGAGGAGGCUGAGGCGCAAGCAAUCCUAGCCGGCCUGAAGGUGUUGUCGGAGCUGCACCAUGGUCCCCUCAUACUGGAGACGGAUUGCAAAGCCUUGGCGGAUAUGCUGAAUUUGGGCAGCAGGUGUUUGUUGGCGUGCUUUCCAGUGAUCGAGGAUAUCAAACAAGAAUUCGCUAAUUUCAGCAUGGUGAAUGUUCAGUACGCCAACAGGAAGAAGAACAAGAUGGCCCAUUUACUGACUGGCCGUGCUAGGACGAUGGGAGACCUUCUAUGUAUGCCAGGAGUACCGGACGACCUGUUGGGUGACCUGAUCGCCGACUUUGUGUUGGCUGAAGAGUAA
rnacentral:rRNA from 1 species